GAUGAACGCUGGCGGCGUGCCUAAUACAUGCAAGUCGAGCGAACAGACGAGGAGCUUGCUCCUCUGACGUUAGCGGCGGACGGGUGAGUAACACGUGGAUAACCUACCUAUAAGACUGGGAUAACUUCGGGAAACCGGAGCUAAUACCGGAUAAUAUAUUGAACCGCAUGGUUCAAUAGUGAAAGACGGUUUUGCUGUCACUUAUAGAUGGAUCCGCGCCGCAUUAGCUAGUUGGUAAGGUAACGGCUUACCAAGGCAACGAUGCGUAGCCGACCUGAGAGGGUGAUCGGCCACACUGGAACUGAGACACGGUCCAGACUCCUACGGGAGGAAGCAGUAGGGAAUCUUCCGCACUGGGCGAAAGCCUGACGGAGCAACGCCGCGUGAGUGAUGAAGGUCUUCGGAUCGUAAAACUCUGUUAUUAGGGAAGAACAAAUGUGUAAGUAACUAUGCACGUCUUGACGGUACCUAAUCAGAAAGCCACGGCUAACUACGUG
rnacentral:rRNA from 1 species